CCGCCGCGGUAAUCGGAGGGAGCAAACGUUGUUCGGAUUUCUGGGUGUAAAGGGUGCGUAGGCGGCUACGUGUGUCAGAGGUGAAAGCUCACGGCUCAACCGUGGAACUGCCUUUGAAACUGCGUAGCUUGAGUCCGAGAGAGGAUGGUGGAAUUCCUGGUGUAACGGUGAAAUGUGCAGAUAUCAGGAAGAACACCGGUGGCGAAGGCGGCCAUCUGGCUCGGUACUGACGCUGAGGCACGAAAGCUAGGGUAUCGAACGGGAUUAGAUACCCCGGUAGUCCUAGCCGUAAACGAUGUCCACUAGGUGUCGGAGGUCCUACCCCUUCGGUGCCGGAGCUAACGCAUUAAGUGGACCACCUGGGGAGUACGCUCGCAAGGGUGAAACUCAAAGGAAUUGACGGGGGCCCGCACAAGCGGUGGAGCAUGUGGUUUAAUUCGAUGCAACGCGAAGAACCUUACCUGGGCUUGACAUGCAGGGGACAGGUGUAGAGAUACACCCUUCUUCGGACUCCUGUACAGGUGCUGCAUGGCUGUCGUCAGCUCGUGUCGUGAAAUGUUGGGUUAAUAAGUCCCGCAACGAGCGCAACCCUUGUCCUUAGUUGCCAGCACGUCAUGGUGGGAACUCUAGGGAGACUGCCGGUGACAAACCGGAGGAAGGUGGGGACGACGUCAAGUCAUCAUGGCCCUUACGUCCAGGGCUACACACGUGCUACAAUGGCACAUACAGAGGGCAGCGAACCCGCGAGGGGAAGCCAAUCCCAAAAAGUGUGCCUCAGUUCGGAUCGCAGUCUGCAACUCGACUGCGUGAAGUCGGAAUCGCUAGUAAUCGCGGAUCAGCAUGCCGCGGGAAUCCGUUCCCGGGC
rnacentral:rRNA from 1 species